UGUCAAGCCCCGAACAAUGUGACAUUACCCAACCCCGCCAGGUCAGGAAUGAAGCAACGGUAAGUAAUAAUCAUAUGUGAUUCGGGUGUCUUGACUUUU
rnacentral:SRP_RNA from 2 species